CUUCCCAAGUGAGAAGCAGCAGGGUGGUGCAAGAUUUCAUCAUGCUUCUCAGAAUGACAUGCAAUUUAAGUCAUAUAAAUUGUUUAUUUCUGGAAUUUUUUAUUUAAUAUUUUUGUACAGCAGUUGACUGAGGUUGAAGGAAAAUUACCCUGGAUGGAAGAUCAGAGGUAUAGAAAGAAAUGGAGAGCAAAGAAAGAGGACUGUGCUGAAUGAGAACUUGUGGUAAUUAUAUGUAUUUAUUGUGAGAAGAAUUUUUGCCUGAGACACCAUCAUCAGUCAGACCAUGAAUGUGAAAAACUGGAAAUCCAAAAGUCUCCUAUGGCUGCCUCUCAGAAAAUCGUUAAAGACAUUAUUGAUUCCAAGGCAGAAGAAACAAGGGACAAGGAGAUGACACCAUUUCAGUU
rnacentral:lncRNA from 10 species